rnacentral:misc_RNA from 1 species
CCAAUAGCGUAUAUUAAAGUUGUUGCAGUUAAAAAGCUCGUAGUUGAAUUUCGAGAUCAAAUUGUUGGUCGUGCCUUGGUACGCACUGGCAUUAUUGGUUUCUCCCUUCUGAAGAACCAAGAUGUCAUUAAUUUGGUGUCUUGGGGAAUCAGGACUGUUACUUUGAAAAAAUUAGAGUGUUUAAAGCAGGCUCGCGCUUGAAUACAUUAGCAUGGAAUAAUGAAAUAGGACGUUUGAUUCUAUUUUGUUGGUUUCUAGGAUCGACGUAAUGAUUAAUAGGGAUAGUUGGGGGCAUUAGUAUUCAAUUGUCAGAGGUGAAAUUCUUGGAUUUAUUGAAGACUAACUACUGCGAAAGCAUUUGCCAAGGAUGUUUUCAUUAAUCAAGAACGAAAGUUAGGGGAUCGAAGACGAUCAGAUACCGUCGUAGUCUUAACCAUAAACUAUGCCGACUAGGGAUCGGAUGAUGUUAAUUUUUUAAUGACUCAUUCGGCGCCUUACGGGAAACCAAGUGUUUGGGUUC